UAUCUCCCAAGAUUUAAAAUUAUAACUAUUCAUUUUUCAGUUCAGAGAAGAGGCGAAUCGAUCAACAAGUUGAAGAAGUGGGGAAUGCACAAUGAAGGCAUAUGUGAAACAGUCACAGAAUCCUCUCACUGGCAAGUUACUCUACUAAAGGAUAAAGAUGUGUCAAGUACCUGUUAUCUUCUGAAAACUAAGUGAGAACUGAGAAGGGACAAGCUAAUUCUGUAAGGUCGGGAGUUUAUUUUUGUUGUGUUUUGUUUUACUU
rnacentral:lncRNA from 1 species